GAUCAUGGCUCGGGAUGAACGCUAGCUACAGGCUUAACACAUGCAAGUCGAGGGGCAUCAGGAAGAAAGCUUGCUUUCUUUGCUGGCGACCGGCGCACGGGUGAGUAACACGUAUCCAACCUGCCCUUUACUCGGGGAUAGCCUUUCGAAAGAAAGAUUAAUACCCGAUGGGAUAAUCAUUCCGCAUGGUUUGAUUAUUAAAGGAUUCCGGUAAAGGAUGGGGAUGCGUUCCAUUAGGUUGUUGGUGAGGUAACGG
rnacentral:rRNA from 1 species